rnacentral:tRNA from 1 species
GGGGAAUUAGCUCAGUUGGUAGAGCAGGGUCUUUGCAAGGCCAAGGUCAGGAGUUCGAGUCUCCUAUUCUCCA